UGGGGAAUAUUGGACAAUGGGCGAAAGCCUGAUCCAGCAAUGCCGCGUGAGUGAUGAAGGCCUUCGGGUUGUAAAGCUCUUUUACCAGGGAUGAUAAUGACAGUACCUGGAGAAUAAGCUCCGGCUAACUCCGUGCCAGCAGCCGCGGUAAUACGGAGGGAGCUAGCGUUGUUCGGAAUUACUGGGCGUAAAGCGCGCGUAGGCGGUUACUCAAGUCAGGGGUGAAAUCCCGGAGCUCAACUCCGGAACUGCCCUUGAAACUAGGUGACUAGAAUCUUGGAGAGGCGAGUGGAAUUCCGAGUGUAGAGGUGAAAUUCGUAGAUAUUCGGAAGAACACCAGUGGCGAAGGCGACUCGCUGGACAAGUAUUGACGCUGAGGUGCGAAAGCGUGGGGAGCAAACAGGAUUAGAUACCCCCGUAGUCC
rnacentral:rRNA from 1 species